rnacentral:lncRNA from 1 species
GACCUCGACCUCCACGUAGGCAACCCCGUCGGCGUGGUACUGCCUGAGGAUUUCAUCAUCCUCCUCCUGCUUCGCCUUCAAGGCGGCGGCGAUCUCGGCGUGUCGUAGGAGGAACUUAUCUCUUCUCUCGGGCUUGUCCUUGUAGCGCUCCCCGAUCCUCUCGGCGGUCAAGGGUUUGGAAGGCCCGGUGAGGGCGCGCCGCGCGCUCCAGGAGCUGGUCGAUGUAGUUCUGAUCCACCUUCACCAGGUUCGUCCAGCUCUCCGUCGCCAUGCCUCUCUCUCUCUCUCUCUAGAAAUCCUGACCCUAGACGUCCAGGGAGAAAGGAGUACGUUAGAUUUAUAGGACUCCAAACCCUAGGAGUACGUUAGAUUUAUAGGACUAAUUUGGCGGAUACAUAGAAAUCCGAUACAAUUUUGUGCAAACUUUAGCAAUAAUAGUUACAGAUCAAACUGUUCCAGCCACGAGAGAAUUUUGGAACUCAAGAGUCAAACUGUUCUUGCUUGUCCUUUUACCACUACGUAUCUCAUCAAUAACCAACAUGUAAGUCUCCCAAUUAAUGAUGAAUAUAAUCCUCAACUGAUCACAGACAACCAUGAAAAUUAACAAAGAAACUUAAUUACUUAGUACUUACUAUGUCGCUGAUGCUCCAAUCUCU